CGCACUGUCAAUACACCGACGCGACGCGCCAAACGUGUGGCUGUCAAUACACACUCGGCCGGCCUUACCGCGGGGCGUUAUCGCGCGCUUAUCCGUCGCUGAACAAUGUCCCGCGAAGCGAGCCGCACGUGUCGUAUUAUUGACAGGUAGACACGGCGGCAGGCAGGAUGUGUCCACAAGCGCCAUCUCCCGACAGGGUUGCUCACGCUGGUGGAGUUUGAAAAUUUUACGCGACACACUUCAUGCUCCGCCGAAGAAUGCAACUUGUUCGCUUCGCAAAGUAAAAAGAUAUUUUCCGAAAUAUUUCAUUAUUCUUGCUGAUACAUGAUUCCGGAUGGCUGCGCUUGCCGUUCAAUGCUAUUGAAGGAAAGUUAUUAGUUCGAGUAUUCGCUGGAGGGUAAAAACAAGAUGGAUGGAUAUAUAUUCAGGUUAAGUGAUAAUUAUUGACAAGUGUCCACCUGAAGGGAGGAUGUUGACCCUUUGCGAGGCAAGAUGCCUCUUUAGCUCAGUGGUAGAGCACUGGUCUCGUAAACCAGGGGUCGUGAGUUCAAACCUCACAGGAGGCAGUUCUUUUUGUCCGCUAGAAGACGACAAACAUCUAAAAUAGUCUACGAAGACGAUGAUGACGACGAUCGUCCCUCGAAUCCUGAUUUUAUCUCGGAGAUUGGACAUCAAUGGAAAUCGUGGGAAUUAUUGAUGAAAUGUGGGCGAAGGACCUCACUCUCUGACACACCAAUUGGUGUUUACUUUAUUGUCGCAGCCACUUUUCCAGUCCCGUCGAUCGGACGUGGGUGUUAGAUUCACCGAG